UCAUAUUAGUCAUACUGCAUAACAAGCUCAUUUAAAAAUGGAUGGAUAGAAGGGUCAGGCCUGGUUAAUACUUGGAUGGGAGACCACCUAGGAAGACCAGGUGCUGUAAGUG
rnacentral:rRNA from 1 species